CCUGGAGUUUAAACAAAAUGGCCACCGGAUAAACUGUUGCCGAUACAAAACCAUUGUUUUGUUUGACAAUGCUCCUUUAAUGAUGUUGCAAUAAAAUUAUGGCAAUCACUUAGUCCGCAGUUAAAAUUGAUAGUUUUACAGAAAAGCUCUGGCUGCAAUUUAGUGCAGCGAAAUGGAACAUGCAAGCGAUAUGCACAACUCUAUGCUUGGUAAUGAUCAGUCCUGUGUAGUUUCAUCGAAAUCUGGCCUGCAGCUUGUCCUGUAAAAGCUGGACAGGCUUUA